rnacentral:rRNA from 1 species
AUACGUAGGGGGCGAGCGUUGUCCGGAAUGAUUGGGCGUAAAGGGCGCGUAGGCGGCCCGGUAAGUCUGGAGUGAAAGUCCUGCUUUUAAGGUGGGAAUUGCUUUGGAUACUGUCGGGCUUGAGUGCAGGAGAGGUAAGUGGAAUUCCCAGUGUAGCGGUGAAAUGCGUAGAGAUUGGGAGGAACACCAGUGGCGAAGGCGGCUUACUGGACUGUAACUGACGCUGAGGCGCGAAAGUGUGGGGAGCAAACAGGAUUAGAUACCCUGGUAGUCCACACUGUAAACGAUGAAUGCUAGGUGUAGGGGGUAUCGACCCCUUCUGUGCCGCAGUUAACACAAUAAGCAUUCCGCCUGGGGAGUACGGCCGCAAGGUUGAAACUCAAAUGAAUUGACGGGG